rnacentral:rRNA from 1 species
ACAUGUCCACAACAUAGCGUUAAUGCACUAGAUCCCAUUAGAACUCUACAGUUAAGCGCACUCAGGAUAGAGUAGUACUGGGAUGGGUGACCAUCCAUGAAGUCCUAGUGUUUUACAUGCC